rnacentral:rRNA from 1 species
UGUCGUCAGCUCGUGUUGUGAAAUGUUGGGUUAAGUCCCGCAACGAGCGCAACCCUUAUCCUUUGUUGCCAGCACGUCAUGGUGGGAACUCAAAGGAGACUGCCGGUGAUAAACCGGAGGAAGGUGGGGAUGACGUCAAGUCAUCAUGGCCCUUACGAGUAGGGCUACACACGUGCUACAAUGGCAGAUACAAAGUGAAGCGAACUCGCGAGAGCAAGCGGACCACAUAAAGUCUGUCGUAGUCCGGAUUGGAGUCUGCAACUCGACUCCAUGAAGUCGGAAUCGCUAGUAAUCGUAGAUCAGAAUGCUACGGUGAAUACGUUCCCGGGCCUUGUACACACCGCCCGUCACACCAUGGGAGUGGGUUGCAAAAGAAGUAGGUAGCUUAACCUUCGGGAGGGCGCUUACCACUUUGUGAUUCAUGACUGGGGUGAAGUCGUAACAAGGUAACCGUAGGGGAACCUGCGGUUGGAUCACCUCCUUA